AUUGCUAUUGUUGGUGCUGGGCUCGUCCUGAUCACUAGGAGACUCUGAUCAAGCUAGGCCUAACCUUAUGUAUUAGUGUCUCCUGAUGAUCGGGACAAGGCUAACACCGAUGAGAGCGAU
rnacentral:miRNA from 1 species